GAUGAAGAACGUAGCGAAAUGCGAUAAGUAAUGUGAAUUGCAGAAUUCAGUGAAUCAUCGAAUCUUUGAACGCACAUUGCGCCCCUUGGUAUUCCGAGGGGCAUGCCUGUUCGAGCGUCAUUAUAACCCCUCAAGCUUAGCUUGGUGUUGGGGCCUGCUGUAAUAGAGCAGCCCUUAAAAUCAGUGGCGGUGCCAUUAGGCUCUAAGCGUAGUAAUUCUUCUCGCUAUAGGGUUCUGGUGGAUGCUUGCCAUUAACCUCUAAUUUUCUAUGGUUGACCUCGGAUCAGGUAGGGAUACCCGCUGAACUUAAGCAUAUCAAUAAGCGGAGA
rnacentral:misc_RNA from 1 species